AUCAGUUAGAUUUUAUGUUCACAUGAAAUUUUUUUGGUUGUACAAUUUCAAGGUCAAUUUUAUGGUCUUUGACAAAAUUAUUUUGGGUGUGGUCAAAAGCUAUUCUUAGUCCAAUCUACGUCAAAAAAGGGGCCAACAUCGGACUAAUUGCAACACAAGUUUUUUUUCAACAGUUUCUUGCACAGAAAGUAUUCCUCUAUAACAUAAUAAAUGUCUAAAAAAAUCGGAGAAGACAAACACCAUGAAAAACGGGGUGUAGACAGGCUGCUUUGUCACGACGGUUGAAAAAUCCAUCCCAUGGGUUCGUGUCAAACACACGUGAUUCGACAAGGCAGUUUUCUAGAGGCGAUUUUCUACUGCCCGUUUCACCGAUUGGCAUCAUUAGAGUGCUACAGUAACUUUCUCCUCCCUUAGUAUGGGGGAACUACAAUCGCUCAAUAUUGCCUCAAAUGGAUUGAAACUUCACAGGGAUGUAAAUAACAUUAAAACAUUAACAGGUAAAAAAAA